rnacentral:rRNA from 1 species
UACGGAGGAUCCAAGCGUUAUCCGGAAUCAUUGGGUUUAAAGGGUCCGUAGGCGGUUUUAUAAGUCAGUGGUGAAAUCCGGCAGCUCAACUGUCGAACUGCCAUUGAUACUGUAGGACUUGAAUUAUUGUGAAGUAACUAGAAUAUGUAGUGUAGCGGUGAAAUGCUUAGAUAUUACAUGGAAUACCCAUUGCGAAGGCAGGUUACUAACAAUAUAUGACGCUGAUGGACGAAAGCGUGGGGAGCGAACAGG